AUUGAACGCUGGCGGCAGGCCUAACACAUGCAAGUCGAACGGUAACAGGAAGAAGCUUGCUUCUUUGCUGACGAGUGGCGGACGGGUGAGUAAUGUCUGGGAAACUGCCUGAUGGAGGGGGAUAACUACUGGAAACGGUAGCUAAUACCGCAUAACGUCGCAAGACCAAAGAGGGGGACCUUCGGGCCUCUUGCCAUCGGAUGUGCCCAGAUGGGAUUAGCUAGUAGGUGGGGUAACGGCUCACCUAGGCGACGAUCCCUAGCUGGUCUGAGAGGAUGACCAGCCACACUGGAACUGUGACACGGUCCAGACUCCUACGGGAGGCAGCAGUGGGGAAUAUUGCACAAUGGGCGCAAGCCUGAUGCAGCCAUGCCGCGUGUAUGAAUAAGGCCUUCGGGUUGUAAAGUACUUUCAGCGGGGAGGAAGGGAGUAAAGUUAAUACCUUUGCUCAUUGACGUUACCCGCAGAAGAAGCACCGGCUAACUCCGUG
rnacentral:rRNA from 1 species